rnacentral:lncRNA from 1 species
GAAAUCGAAAGCAAUGGAGCACAACAGCAAAGAAAUAUAUCCUAGUGCAGUUGCUGGAUUCAUCAGAAAGGAAUAUUUGUCUGUGAAGUGAAAAAGAAUGUGCUUCUUAGGAGAGAAAAUCGGACAGACUGAGUCCAGGGCCGCACACGUGCUACAUUACCUUUCUGCUACAACCCAGUCUUUGUAAUUGUCUUCUGCAUUGCCCACUGAGCGAAAACCUAAAAUUAAAGGCUAUAUUUUAAAGUG